GACGAACGCUGGCGGCGUGCUUAACACAUGCAAGUCGAACGAAGAGCGAUGGAAGCUUGCUUCUAUCAAUCUUAGUGGCGAACGGGUGAGUAACGCGUAAUCAACCUGCCCUUCAGAGGGGGACAACAGUUGGAAACGACUGCUAAUACCGCAUACGAUCUAACCUCGGCAUCGAGGAAAGAUGAAAGGUGGCCUCUAUUUAUAAGCUAUCACUGAAGGAGGGGAUUGCGUCUGAUUAGCUAGUUGGAGGGGUAACGGCCCACCAAGGCGAUGAUCAGUAGCCGGUCUGAGAGGAUGAACGGCCACAUUGGGACUGAGACACGGCCCAGACUCCUACGGGAGGCAGCAGUGGGGAAUCUUCCGCAAUGGACGAAAGUCUGACGGAGCAACGCCGCGUGAGUGAUGACGGCCUUCGGGUUGUAAAGCUCUGUUAAUCGGGACGAAAGGCCUUCUUGCGAAUAGUUA
rnacentral:rRNA from 1 species